rnacentral:snRNA from 1 species
GUACUCACUUUGACAGCACAUAUUCUAAAAUUGGAACAAUACAGAGAAGAUUAGCAUGCCCCUGCGCAAGGAUGACACUCAAUUUUGUGAAGCGUUCCAUAUUAAA